CCUANGGGAGGCAGCAGUCGAGAAUUUUUCACAAUGGGCGAAAGCCUGAUGGAGCGACGCCGCGUGGGGGAUGAAUGGCUUCGGCCCGUAAACCCCUGUCAUUCGCGAUCAAACCUUAUCAUUUAAAAGAUGGUGAGCUGAUAGUAGCGGAAGAGGAAGGGACGGCUAACUCUGUGCCAGCAGCCGCGGUAAUACAGAGGUCCCAAGCGUUGUUCGGAUGCACUGGGCGUAAAGGGUGCGUAGGUGGCGAGGUAAGUCGGAUGUGAAAUCUCCAAGCUCAACUUGGAAAUGGCAUUGGAAACUGCCCUGCUAGAGGAUCGGAGGGGGGACUGGAAUACUUGGUGUAGCAGUGAAAUGCGUAGAUAUCAAGUGGAACACCAGUGGCGAAGGCGAGUCCCUGGACGAUACCUGACACUGAGGCACGAAAGCUAGGGGAGCAAACAGGAUUAGAUACCCUUNUANUC
rnacentral:rRNA from 1 species